CAGAGAAGAAGAAGUCAAGAAAAAGUCAAGAGGAAGAGUUUCUCUCUUUUCUCUCUCUCUCUGCCUUUGUUUGUCUUCUUGUUCCUUCUUGCGAUAGAUACAAAAUCUUUAAGGGCGGCGGAAAUUAGAUAUACUGUUAUUUAUAAAUAAUUCAGUUAAUAUUAUUU
rnacentral:ribozyme from 1 species